CUGGUCUUACUUCAUAGGAUCACUUCUAUAGUAUGAUUGCCAAGUUCCCUGACCGAAACUUAGUGUAACCUCAUGCCACGAUGACGAGGUUGAGUGUCCGAUCCUGUGCGGGAAGCUGCCCCUUGGAUUAUACAGAGGCUUGAGCACCGUCCAUAGUCUGAAAAGGGCGUGGUGAGUCGAGCACAGAGUGGA